UCCCAUGUGGUCUAGUGGUUAGGAUUUCUGGCUUUCACCCAGGGCGGCCCGGGUUCGAUUCCCGGCAUGGGAA
rnacentral:tRNA from 1 species